GUGGUAAUGCCGGAUGUUCCACAUGAUCGCAUGUGAUUGUGGGAAAGAUUCUAUCGGCGUGGGAUGGGGUCGCGUCCUAUCAGCUUGUUGGUGAGGUAACGGCUCACCAAGGCUUCGACGGGUAGCCGGCCUGAGAGGGCGACCGGCCACAUUGGGACUGAGAUACGGCCCAGACUCCUACGGGAGGCAGCAGUGGGGAAUAUUGCACAAUGGGCGCAAGCCUGAUGCAGCGACGCCGCGUGAGGGAUGGAGGCCUUCGGGUUGUAAACCUCUUUUGUUUGGGAGCAAGCCUUCGGGUGAGUGUACCUUUCGAAUAAGCGCCGGCUAACUACGUGCCAGCAGCCGCGGUAAUACGUAGGGCGCAAGCGUUAUCCGGAUUUAUUGGGCGUAAAGGGCUCGUAGGCGGCUCGUCGCGUCCGGUGUGAAAGUCCAUCGCUUAACGGUGGAUCUGCGCCGGGUACGGGCGGGCUGGAGUGCGGUAGGGGAGACUGGAAUUCCCGGUGUAACGGUGGAAUGUGUAGAUAUCGGGAAAGAAC
rnacentral:rRNA from 1 species